UGAAGUGCACCAGUCCCUCCUGCAGCAAAGCAUCCCCACAACAUGAUGCUGCCGCCCCCGUCCUUCACGGUUGGGAUGGUGGUCUUCAGCUUUUAAGCCUCCCCAUUUUUCCUCCAAACAUAACAAUGGUCAUUAUGGCCAAACAGUUCUAUUUUUGUUUCAUCAAACCAGAGGACAUUUCUCCAAAAAGUAUGAUCUUUGUCCCUGUGUGCAGUUGCAAACCGUAGUCUGGCUUUUUUAUGGCGGUUUUGGAGCAGUGGCUUCUUCCUUGUUGAACGGCCUUUCAGGUUAUGUCGAUAUAGGACUCGUUUUACUGUGGAUAUGUUGAUACAUUUGUACCUGUUUCCACCAGCAUCUUCACAAGGUCCUCUGCUGUUGUUCUGGGAUUUAUUUGCACUUUUCGCACCAAAGUACGUUUAUCUCUAGGAGACAGAACGCGUCUCCUUCCUGAGCGGUAUGACGGCUGCGUGGUCCCAUGGUGUUUAUGCUUGCGCACUAUUGUUUGUACAGAUGAACGUGGUACCUUCAGGCAUUUGGAAAUUGAUCCCAAGGAUGAACCAGACUUGUGGAAUGUCUUGUCGGAUUUCUUUUGAUUUUCCCAUGAUGUCAGGCAAAGAGCCAAAGAGUUUGAAGGUAGGCCUUGAAAUAAAUCCACAGGUACACCUCCAAUCGACUCAAAUGAUGUCAGUUAGCCUAUCAGAAGCUUCUAAAGCCAUGACAUAAUUUUCUGGAUUUUUCCAAGCUGUUUAAAUGCACAGUCAACUUAGUGUAUGUAAACUUCUGACCCACUGGUAUUGUGAUACAGUGAAUUAUAAGUGAAAUAAUCUGUCUAAACAAUUUUGGAAAAAAUGACUUGCUCAAAGUAGAUGUCCUAACCGACUUGGCUAAACUAUAGUUGGUUAACAAGCAAUUUGUGGAGUCGUUGAAAAACAAGUUUUAAUGACUUCAACCUAAGUGUAUGUUAACUUCCGACUUCAGCUGUAGCUUUAUUGGGAAUGUACAGGUGUAAAUCCUGCAAUUUCUGUUUCCUAAAUAUUAAAGCAUUUUUUACUCAUGCAAUUAUACAUAGAAAUGUGUCAAACUACUGUGUUGCUUGUGGGAUAGAGUGCCCUUGCACCAAAGCAUCACUACUUGUUAAAUCACCCCGAUCUCAUUCUGCAAUUUGGGUGACUCAUUUGUUUGUGGACACUGAGGUUUGAGAGCACACUCCUUCUUCAAGGAGUGUGCCAGAAAACGUGUCUGAGAGCCACCAGUUACUCCAAUCUUACUUAAGCAGCAGCCAAUUGUUUCCACAUAGCAUUGAAGUUGUUGGUGUCAUGAAUUAAUUUGAGGAGCAAUUAUAUAACAACACCAUUCAGGGAGCUGUACAUUCAGAAGGGUUCACAAAGCAAAGCUCUGCAGAGGUGUCUAAAAUUGUAUACAAAGUAAAAACAUACACUGAAGGCCAUGUUGUAAUUGGAGAAAAUGAUGACGGAUACACAUUUGGAAAGAUCUCAAUGAUUCUGGUCACAGAAUCACAGGUUCCUUUAAUUGUUGGGGUGUAUCAGUCUGUGUCACUGGUCGAUCUGGGGGUUCAUUUUAUACCAGAUUCUCUGAUUAAUUAUGUGUGUUGUGGCAAAGAAGGGGGUCGAGUGAUAAAUGGCAGAUAUGUGAGAGCAGAACUAAUAAACGGGCUCUGCCCGAUCACUAAAAUGGCCACCCCAAUCAGAACUACAGAUCACAAAAUGGCCGACUGACAAAACUACAAGUCCCAGAAGCAAGGGGAAGCCUCAGAAGGUGGAGCCAACACACAGAUAAAGGGUCAAGAAAAACCAGGAAGAGGGAUUGAGGGGUGGAAGGAUCUAUGAACCGUAGAGAAAGAGACAAUAGAUAUUGGCUCGAUUUACCGUGUAUGAGCUGGACUGUUUUGGACUUACCUGUUGGCGUUUGGACCUGGACAAACCGAGAACCCGAUUUGUGUACCGAACCCUGCUAUCCUUGACCUUGCCUACGACCUGGGUGGACCAUGACGGAGAAACAAACACACAGUGUAGGCAUGGAGGGUCUUCAAGAUGCAAUUAAACACCAAUUGCUCGAGUUGGAGACAGAGAUGGUGAGAUCUUUGUCAGAGCAUCUGAGGGCAAGUGUUGGAGUCGAGAAUAUUAACGACCUUGAAUAUGUUCAGCCGGAGAACAUAAAAUACCAUUUGACGGCAAUAUAGUGCCGGGAAUUGCUUCAGUCCUUCAACCAAAGAGGUGAGAUCUUGAUUGAUAAAUGUAACAUAUUUAUGUAAUUGUUAUGAAAAAAGGUGUUAUUUAGAACCUAAAAUGGUUAUUUGGCUGUCCCCAUAAGAGAACCCUUUGAAGAUCACUUUUUGAUUCCAGGUACAUGUAUAACCCUUUUCAUUCCAGGUAGAACCCUUUCCACAGAGGGUUCUACAUGGAACCCAGCCAAAGAACCCUUUUUUCUAAGAGAGUACACACACACACACACACACACACAAGGUUAAAAAUGUUCUGUAAAUAGUUAGUUUGUUUGCCCUCAAAAUAAAUGGUUUAUGCUAUGAGGUAGCAAGGCAUAUGCAAUAAAAGGGAUGGAAAGUACAAAAAUAUACAAAUGUUUCUGUAAAUUGUUUGUCCUCUUGUGCUGGUAUGGAGUGCAGCGCAUAGCCUAACAAAAUUUUCUUUUAAAAAAUACAAAGAAAUAAACUAAGAUUGGAUAGGAUCUGUAACAAUGGAUAGGACACUUAUUCUUUUCACCAAGUUAUUGCUCUGCGACCACUUCAAUACUCUUGAUUGACAGCCACUUGAAUCAAGCUCUCCUGAACAAGGGUAAGAGAUUUGUCAACUUUUUUAAAAGCCAAAAGCCAAAGUUGAGAAGAGCGAUCCAGUGCCUGCUGAAUGAAAUCGACAGUUAAAUAAAAGGCAGCCACUGCUGCCAUUCUUUUGUUGAUGACCCACUUCAACGAGAAGGACGAAUCUCUGUUCCUCUUGGCAAAUGUAAGGAAACGUUUUUAUACUUAUAAAGUUUAUAUGAUUAACGGUUUUUAUACUGCACUAUUACACAUUAUUUGAAUAUUUUUUAUAUGUAUGUUUUGUGAUUUUAGGUCACUGCGACUCGGGUUGAUGUCGAAUCGCAAAUUCCUUAGCCAGACACAACAAGGCUGAUCAUGCUUGAUAAUACAUUUAUUUGAUUUAAGGUGGAACAGAAUAUGGUAUCUAUAGUAUUGUGGUACCUAUCUAGAGAUGUCUAGUAAGUGUACACUAACACCCUUACUUUUGUGAAUUAUGGUAUGCUCUAUUUGGGUUCCACAAAAUGGAUGGUGUCGAUCAAGGGGAGAGUGGUCUGUGUUUUGGACAGUGAGACCAACUUUGCUGCUGCCCUCUGUGCUCUUCAGCACUUUCUAUGUUUUUAACAUAGAAUACCAGGAGUCGGCCUCUGCAACCUUGGAGCUGAUACAGAGGUUCCGGGUUCGAAUAUACCCUGAAGGAACCAAAUGCACGGCGAAAGCAGGAGUGAGCCGCAAGACCGGAAAGGUUGUUCAGAGGAAGCCAUUGCCAAUUGAUCCACAUGUUACACGCUUUCUCGCAGACCUGAAGGAGUUUGAGUGGAAAAACUCCAACAUUUGACGCAUCAGACCUACGGAGGAUCAGAGUUUCAAAGAUUAGGGUGAUAAUCUGCACGCCAACAAGAUUUAUUCAAGACUUUUUUGCAUCUCUCAUUCUCUUAGAAAUCCUGCCAUGCAGGUUGGGACAGCAAAUGAUCUGCUUGCGCUCUCCCGGAGCAUGUGUUGGCUUGCGGUAGGUAGCGUGCUUCUCUGGCUCCAGUCUAGCCCUGCUUGCUCCUCUCUAUCCAUCCUUCUCUCUCAAAGACAGGCAGGCAAGCAGUUCUUGUUAUAGUUUUUUGUAAAAAUGUCUCCCUGUUCAACUGUUUUCCUAUUUUUCAUUGAUUUGUUUAGAUCUUUUUUUCUUACAUAAUCCUGUAUUUUCAAGAAUGACCUAUUCUGAUGUCUUGGUUUGUGUAUGGUGAAGUACAUUAUUGGCCAGUAUUUGUCAAUGUUCUUAUCACUGUAUCUCUCUCUGUCUCUCUCCCCUACUAUCUGGAGUUGUAAUGUUGCUCUUUUCAAAUGUUCUUCUUUGUGGUUAAAGUGCAAUUCAUGUCAUGAAUUUGAAUAAAUAUAUAUAUGUACAGGUUUUUUGUGUGUUUUUUUUUACAAUAUUACAUUUCA